GACGAACGCUGGCGGCGUGCUUAACACAUGCAAGUCGAACGGAAAGGCCCUGCUUUUGUGGGGUGCUCGAGUGGCGAACGGGUGAGUAACACGUGAGUAACCUGCCCUUGACUUUGGGAUAACUUCAGGAAACUGGGGCUAAUACCGGAUAGGAGCUCCUGCUGCAUGGUGGGGGUUGGAAAGUUUCGGCGGUUGGGGAUGGACUCGCGGCUUAUCAGCUUGUUGGUGGGGUAGUGGCUUACCAAGGCUUUGACGGGUAGCCGGCCUGAGAGGGUGACCGGCAACAUUGGGACUGAGAUACGGCCCAGACUCCUACGGGAGGCAGCAGUGGGGAUUAUUGCACAAUGGGCGGAAGCCUGAUGCAGCAACGCCGCGUGCGGGAUGACGGCCUUCGGGUUGUAAACCGCUUUCGCCUGUGACGAAGCGUGAGUGACGGUAAUGGGUAAAUAAGCACCGGCUAACUACGUG
rnacentral:rRNA from 1 species